rnacentral:rRNA from 1 species
UACGUAUGGGGCGAGCGUUAUCCGGAAUCAUUGGGCGUAAAGCGCGCGUAGGCGGCUGUCCAAGCGGGGCGUCAAAUCCCGGGGCUCAACCCCGGGCCGCGCCCCGAACUGGGCGGCUUGAGUCCGGUAGGGGGAGGCGGAAUUCCCGGUGUAGCGGUGAAAUGCGCAGAUAUCGGGAAGAACACCGGUGGCGAAGGCGGCCUCCCGGGCCGCGACUGACGCUGAGGCGCGAAAGCUAGGGGAGC